AUUGAACGCUGGCGGCAUGCCUAAUACAUGCAAGUCGAGCGGAGCGGCGGACGGGUGAGUAAUGACUAGGAAUCUGCCCGGUAGUGGGGGAUAACGUCGGGAAAGGGGCGCUAAUACCACAGACUAUCAGAGGAGCCUAGGUCGGAUGAGCUAGUUGGUGGGGUAAAGGCUUACCAAGGCGACGAGACUUAACUGGUCUGAGAGGAUGAUCAGUCACACUGGAACUGAGACACGGUCCAGACUCCUACGGGAGGCAGCAGUGGGGAAUAUUGGACAAUGGGCGAAAGCCUGAUCCAGCCAUGCCGCGUGUGUGAAGAAGGUGUUCGGAUUGUAAAGCACUUUUAUUUGGGAGGCGUUACCUACAGAAUAAGCAACGGCUAACUACGUGCCAGCAGCCGCGGUAAUAC
rnacentral:rRNA from 1 species